rnacentral:rRNA from 1 species
ACGGAAGGCAGCAGUGGGGAAUAUUGGGCAAUGGGCGAAAGCCUGACCCAGCAACGCCGCGUGAAGGAAGAAGGCCUUCGGGUUGUAAACUUCUUUUAUCAGGGACGAAGAAUGUGACGGUACCUGAUGAAUAAGCCACGGCUAACUACGUGCCAGCAGCCGCGGUAAUACGUAGGUGGCAAGCGUUAUCCGGAUUUAUUAGGUUUAAAGGGUGCGCAGGCGGGACACUAAGUCGGCGGUGAAAUCUCAUGGCCCAACCAUGAAACUGCCAUCGAUACUGGUGACCUUGAGUACGAAUGAGGAAGGCGGAAUGAGUCGUGUAGCGGUGAAAUGCUUAGAUAUGACUCAGAACACCAAUUGCGAAGGCAGCUUUCCAAAACGCAACUGACGCUCAUGCACGAAAGCGUGGGUAGCGAACAGGAUUAGAUACCCUGGUA